rnacentral:rRNA from 1 species
GUGCCAGCCGCCGCGGUAAUACGGAGCCUUCGAGCGUUACCCGGAUUUACUGGGCGUAAAGGGCGCGUAGGCGGCCUGUUAAGUCCGAUGCUAAAGACCAGGGCUCAACCCUGGGAAUGCGUUGGAUACUGGCGGGCUCGACGGCUGGAGAGGGUAGCGGAAUUCUCGGAGUAGCGGUGAAAUGCGCAGAUACCGAGAGGAACGCCAAUAGCGAAGGCAGCUACCUGGACGGCACGUGACGCUGAGGCGCGAAAGCGUGGGGAGCAAACCGGAUUAGAUACCCGGGUAGUCCACGCCCUAAACUAUGAGUGCUGGGUGUCCGGCUUACGCUGGGUGCCGUAGCCAACGCGUUAAGCACUCCGCCUGGGAAGUACGGUCGCAAGACUGAAACUCAAAGGAAUUGACGGGGGCCCGCACAAGCGGUGGAGCAUGUGGUUUAAUUCGAAGGAACGCGAAGAACCUUACCAGGCCUUGACAUCCCGUGAACCCUGGUGAAAGCCGGGGGUGCCCGCAAGGGAGCGCGGAGACAGGUGCUGCAUGGCUGUCGUCAGCUCGUGUCGUGAGAUGUUGGGUUAAGUCCCGCAACGAGCGCAACCCCUGUUCUUAGUUGCCAGCGGUUCGGCCGGGCACUCUAGGGAGACUGCCCGCGAAAGCGGGAGGAAGGCGGGGAUGACGUCUAGUCCGCAUGGCCCUUACGGCCUGGGCUACACACGUGCUACAAUGACCAGCACAAAGCGCUGCAACUGGGCAACCAGAAGCCAAUCGCAUAAAACUGGCCUUAGUUCGGAUUGGGGGUCUGCAACCCGGCCCCAUGAAGCUGGAAUCGCUAGUAAUCGCGGAUCAGCCACGCCGCGGUGAAUACGUUCCCGGGCCUUGUACACACCGCCCGUCAAGCCAUGGAAGUGGAUUCUAUCUGAAGUCGCCGGGAGCCUUCGGGCAGGCGCCGAGGGUCGGGUUCAUGACUGGGAAUGAGUCGUAACAAGGUAACC